UAUUGGUCAAUAGCCUAACGGCUGAACCAGCAACUAGGAGGAAUGUAAAGCUGCUUUAUAGUAGUUUACCGUUUUAUGAACGGAGUUAACAUAGUUAAGUAAAGUUCCGAGUAGAAAUUGAUUAUGACAGUUUCUAUGAGUAUGUCUUGACCAAUUCAUGUGCCAGCAGUCGCGGCAAUACAUGUAAGACUCGUGUUAUUCAUCUUUAAUAGGUUUAAAGGGUACCUAGACAGUUAAUUAAGCCAUAAAAAAGGAACUAAUUAGACUAGAGUUUGAUGUAAGAAGUAUAGUACGGUGUGUGUAGAGUUAAAAUUCAGUGAUACCACUUAGAAACAGGUAAAGGCGAAGGCAACUUCUAUGUAAAAACUGACGUUGAGGGACGAAGGCUCGUUAAAAAAAACAGGAUUAGAUACCCUGGUAUUUAGGGCAGACAAUGAUGAAUGUCAUAUGCAAGAAUUUUUUUGUGUAUAAAUGAAAAUGUAAGCAUUCCACCUCAAGAGUAAUAUGGCAACAUAUAAACUGAAAUCAUUAGACCGUUUCUGAAACCCGUAGUGAAGUAUGUUAUUUAAUUUGAUAACCCACAAAGAACCUUACCACAAUUUGUAUAUUUUUUUACAAGCGUUGCACGGCUGUCUUCAGUUAAUGUCGUGAGACUUAGGUUAGAUCCAUUUAAUUAACGUAUAACCCUUAUUUUAUUUAAUAUAAAAUAGUUCGCCGCUAUAUUGGUAGUGAUAUAAGGGACCAAGACAAGUCAUCAUGACCUAAAUAUUGUGGGCUAUAGAC
rnacentral:rRNA from 1 species